rnacentral:rRNA from 1 species
UACGUAGGGAGCGAGCGUUGUCCGGAUUUACUGGGUGUAAAGGGUGCGUAGGCGGAUAAGCAAGUCAGUGGUGAAAUCUAUGGGCUUAACCCAUAAACUGCCAUUGAAACUGUUUGUCUUGAGUGGAGUAGAGGCAGGCGGAAUUCCCGGUGUAGCGGUGAAAUGCGUAGAGAUCGGGAGGAACACCAGUGGCGAAGGCGGCCUGCUGGGCUUUAACUGACGCUGAAGCACGAAAGCAUGGGUAGCAAACAGGAUUAGAUACCCUGGUAGUCCAUGCCGUAAACGAUGAUUACUAGGUGUGGGGGGUCUGACCCCCUCCGUGCCGGAGUUAACACAAUAAGUAAUCCACCUGGGGAGUACGGCCGCAAGGUUGAAACUCAAAGGAAUUGACGGGGGCCCGCACAAGCAGUGGAGUAUGUGGAUUAAUUCGAAGCAACGCGAAGAACCUUACCAGGUCUUGACAUCCAUGUAAUCCUUCAGAGAUGAGGGAGUGCCCUUCGGGGAAACAUGAGACAGGUGGUGCAUGGUU